AGCGAACGCUGGCGGCAGGCCUAAUACAUGCAAGUCGAGCGGCCCUUCGGGGCAGCGGCGGACGGGUGAGUAACGCGUGGGAACGUGCCCUUUGGUACGGAACAACUGAGGGAAACUUCAGCUAAUACCGUAUGUGCCCUUCGGGGGAAAGAUUUAUCGCCAUUGGAGCGGCCCGCGUUAGAUUAGCUAGUUGGUAGGGUAACGGCCUACCAAGGCGACGAUCUAUAGCUGGUCUGAGAGGAUGAUCAGCCACACUGGGACUGAGACACGGCCCAGACUCCUACGGGAGGCAGCAGUAGGGAAUCUUGCGCAAUGGGCGAAAGCCUGACGCAGCCAUGCCGCGUGAAUGAUGAAGGUCUUAGGAUUGUAAAAUUCUUUCACCGGGGACGAUAAUGACGGUACCCGGAGAAGAAGCCCCGGCUAACUUCGUGCCAGCCGCCGCGGUAAAAC
rnacentral:rRNA from 1 species